rnacentral:rRNA from 1 species
GACGAACGCUGGCGGCGUGCUUAACACAUGCAAGUCGAACGGAAAGGCCCUGCUUUUGUGGGGUGCUCGAGUGGCGAACGGGUGAGUAACACGUGAGUAACCUGCCCUUGACUUUGGGAUAACUUCAGGAAACUGGGGCUAAUACCGGAUAGGAGCUCCUGCUGCAUGGUGGGGGUUGGAAAGUUUCGGCGGUUGGGGAUGGACUCGCGGCUUAUCAGCUUGUUGGUGGGGUAGUGGCUUACCAAGGCUUUGACGGGUAGCCGGCCUGAGAGGGUGACCGGCUACACUGGGACUGAGAUACGGCCCAGCCUCCUACGGGAGGAAGCAGUGGGCAAUAUUGCACACUGGGCGGAAGCCUGAUGCAGCACCGCCGCGUGCGGGAUGACGCCCUUCGGGUUGUAGACCGCUUUCGCAUGUGACGAAGCGUGAGUGACGGUAAUGGGUAAAGACGCACCGGCUACAUACGUG